AUUGAACGCUGGCGGCAGGCCUAACACAUGCAAGUCGAGCGGAUGAAGGGAGCUUGCUCCUGGAUUCAGCGGCGGACGGGUGAGUAAUGCCUAGGAAUCUGCCUGGUAGUGGGGGAUAACGUCAGGAAACGGGCGCUAAUACCGCAUACGUCCUGAGGGAGAAAGUGGGGGAUCUUCGGACCUCACGCUAUCAGAUGAGCCUAGGUCGGAUUAGCUAGUUGGUGGGGUAAAGGCCUACCAAGGCGACGAUCCGUAACUGGUCUGAGAGGAUGAUCAGUCACACUGGAACUGAGACACGGUCCAGACUCCUACGGGAGGCAGCAGUGGGGAAUAUUGGACAAAGGGCGAAAGCCUGAUCCAGCCAUGCCGCGUGUGUGAAGAAGGUCUUCGGAUUGUAAAGCACUUUAAGUUGGGAGGAGGGGCAGUAAGUUAAUACCUUGCUGUUUUGACGUUACCAACAGAAUAAGCACCGGCUAACUUCGUG
rnacentral:rRNA from 1 species